rnacentral:lncRNA from 1 species
GAUAGAUACGACCUCCAUGCAUACAUCCUGUUGGAAGGGAAGAGAAGAGAAGUGGAACCAGAACCAGAGAGGAUGGGCUAAUUGGCCAGGUCCUUGGAGGUCAGGUACCUUGAACCUUUCCAAGAUUCUCUCUCUUUCUCUCUCUCUGUCUCACACACACACACACAUACCAGCUCUCACUGAAAUUAAACUAUAACUGAAGACAUCACACACACACACACACACACACCAGCUCUCACUGAAAUUAAGCUAUAACUGAAGACAUCACACACACACACACACACACACACACACACACCAGCUCUCACUGAAAUUAAACUAUAACUGAAGACAAAUCCUGCAGGGUCACACACCAACUGCUGUUUGGGAAGUUCUUCAAUGAUUCCAACCUGGAUUCCUCUUACUUUACUUGGAUGCCAGCCACAACAUUCCUGGGAUCCUUUUCCAUUUAAAUAAGUUAGGGCUUGGAGAUGGGGAGUGGGAGGAGCAUGGGGAAGCCAAGGCCCAGAGAAGGUAAGCAACCGUCCUAAGAUAACACAGCACUCUUGAGAUGACAGCUCAGGUAUGCAGUCUGCCGGCCCAAGCCCCAUGGAACUGUGGGAAGGAACGCAAGUGAUUCUCCUAUUGGACAGGGGCAAGUGCAUGGAAAAGGAUGAUGGUGAGGCUGAAAGCAGGAAAAGAUUUGACCCAUCUCCCAGGUUGGGCCCAGGCCAGAGGUCUCUACCAGCAAAGAGGAUAAAAGAGACUACACCUGGACAAACCCUCCCAGGCCCAGGCCUGAGCCUCACAUGUGGCCCCGGGGAAGGCAUCAGGGACUCCCUUUGCCCUCCCACUGACCUCCCUGCAAACCUCCCCCAAACCAAGGGGCAUCCUCAGCUGGCCAGACCCUGGGGGAAGGGAGAGAGCCGAGGAUCACCGGCACCUGUGGCUGGGUUACCCCUGCCAUGGACCACUGGGUGAUCAAGAAGUCAUUCCAAAAUGUGAAGCGUUCUGAAGAUAUGCACAUAGCGUAAGAACCUGGUGUAAUGUGCUGGUCAAGGCGGUCUCAGAGAGGAGAUGACGUUUGAGCUGACACCUGAGGGAUGAGAAGAAAGCAGCCAUUCCCAGGGCCCAGGGGAGGCAUCCCAGGAAGCCGGAUCAGCAUGAGCAAAAGCCCUGAGGCCUGGCACAAGUUGGUCUGCUUGAGAAGCAGGAGAGAGCCCUGAGCAUCCGGAGUGCAGCAAGCGAGAUGAGCAAGUCAAGAUGCAGAAGGACUCUCUGGCUUGUCCAAGGUCACACGGCUGUUAGGAGCAGAGCAGCGUCCUGGUGCCCAAGCCCUGAGGUCCCCAGCACACUGCCUCUGCAAUGGCCACAACUGUCCAAAGACUAAGCUGACUCUCACACCUGGUAGUGUCUGUGGUCAUUCACUGUGGAUGGAAGUGGAGAAAUGCAGAAAACAGAAACACAGCUUCCCCUUUUCUGUCAUAUUUCUGUAUCGUUGGUGUUUGGAGCCAGUUGAGCACAAAGGGCCCCUGAGUGCUGUUUCCUUGUGAUAUUUGGGGGUUAACAGCUUCCCCUCAUCUCUUAAUUACCUGCCCUCCUUCACUUCAGCUGCACAUUCGUUAAAGAAUGCUCUCCCAGGAGAAGAGCUUGGUGUUAUCACCCACAAACAUCUUAGAAAACUAAUGCUAUCCUUGAGUGCCUGUUUACAGAAACAUUUUUACAUCUCACUUGACAUUUCCAGCAAAUCUUGAUCCUUCCAGCCAGGAAUAUUAAUAUAUAGGUCUUGAAAAGUGCAAGAGGCUCUUCCAUGGCUCCAAGCACAUUUGACACUCUUCCUUUUCUGAUCCCCAAGCAGACAGUGAUGAAACCCCAAUAGCUGGGCGAAUACUCAUCCAACAGGAAGAAUCAGUUUUAAGAGCUGGGUUCUCAGGGUCAAAUACUGUGGUGUGGCCUUUUGGUUGUAAUGAGUUGAAUGGAGGUCUCAAAAAAGAUAUAUCCAUGUUCUAAUCCCCAGAACUUGUGAAUGUGACCUUAUUUGGAAAAAGAGUCCUUUUGGAUGUAAUUAAGUUAAGGAUUUUGAGAUAAGGAGAUCAUCCUGGGUUAUCUGGGUGGACCCUAAAUCUGUUGACAAUGUCCUUAUGAGAGACCCCAGAGGGCACAGACAGGAAAGGAAGAGGCAAUGUGGCCCCAGAGGCUGAGAUCAGAGCUCUGUGGCCACAAUUCGAGGAACACCUGGAGCCACCAGAAGCUGGAGGAGGCAAGGAACAGAUUCUCCCUGAUCCUCUGGAUACAGAGGGAGAAUAGCCUGGCCGACACCUUGAUUUUGGACUUCUGGCCCCCAGAACUGAGAAAAUUAACUUCUGUUGUGUUAAGCAGCCACGUUUGUAGCAGUUCAUCAUAGCAGCCCUGGGAAAGAAAUACAGUGGGCUUCCAGUUCAAGGAGGAUCCACGAGGCCUGAGCUCCAUCUGUCGAUUGGAAUCACCAAAAUCAAGGUUGUGUGCGGGUAACGCCAGCACAAGCAGCUCAUGCUGGCAAAAGCAGACCAAACCGGCUCACGCAACGUCAAGUCAUCUUGAAGUGGUUCACGCACCACAGUGAGUGGUAUUGAUUGUGGUUAAGAGCCAGGUUCAAGGAGGUUUAUCACUCAGUAGCCAGGUAAAGCAGGUUCCAGGCCUGGCUCCACCACUCAACAACCGGGGAAACAGGGGAGCAGACCUGCAGAGGGGCCAGAAGACACCUGGCCGGGUGGGGAGCAGCCCCUCCGUAAUAACAAUCGGAACCUGGGAAGAUAAGUAGAGUCCCAGGGGAGGGACAGAGUUUCCCCUGUGUCACCACAUGGCUACUUUGACACAAAUGCACGUGGGCAGAGAGAGGCAUGCAGGUCAAGGGCCUGGCAGGGAGUCAGGGGCCCUCAGUGCCAGUCCUGGCUCUGCCUCUGCCUCUGACACGCCAUGUGACCUUGAGCAAGUCACCACCCUGUCUGGGCUUCGCUAACCCAUAUACGGAAUGAGAAGGUAUCGUCCCUGGUCACUGCAGGUUUUAAAUCAUGUAGUGAGAGAGAGCUCAUUUGGUCCAACUCUCUGCAACUGAAGGAAUGGAGACACCAAGGGGGAGUAAUCGGCCGCAGUGAUGAGUGGGUGGCAAAGGGAGCUAUCACUACCAUUGAUUAUCCAGCUACUUGUGCUUGAUAAACUCCCUCCUGGUGGAAUGGGCUUUCCCACAUCCAGCAGCACAAAUGCUGUGAGCAUCUACUACGGGCUGGGCACCUUCUCUGGGCUGGCACUUGACAUGGGUUAUCUCAUUUAACUCCCUAACAACCCUAUGUGGUAUUAUCAUCCCCAUUUCACAGGCGGCAAAACUGAAUCCCAGAGAGAAGACUCACUCAGACACAGCUAUCUGAACACUCUUUUCCAGUUCCCCUAGGGCAGCAGAGGAAGCAAGGUGGGGGGAAGCCAGUGGUCAAGGAUUCCAUGCGGAAUGUACCCUAGAAUUAACCCAUGGAGAGAGGGUAAGGGAACGGGCUCAGGCCUGGGAAGAAGUGGGGAGGACAGUGUCCUGUUGACCUAUUCAAAAACAUCCAGUUUUAGUUAAUUUUUAGUUCAUUAGUCACCACUUUUUAUUAGUAUCUCAUGUAUUCUUUCACAGUUUCUUUCUGCAGGUACAAAAAUAAUGAUUUUUUUUCUUUCUUUUUCUUCUUUGAGACAGGGUCUCGCUCUGUUGCCCAGGCUGUAGUACAAUGGUGCAAUCUCGGCUCACUGCAACCUCUGCCUCUGGGUUCAAGCGAUCCUUUGCCUCCGCCUCCUGAGUAGCUGGAAUUACAGGCAUGCACCAUGAUGCUUGGUUAAUUUUUGUAUUUUUAGUAGAGUCAGGGUUUUGCUAUGUUGGCCAGGCUGGGCUCCAACUUCUGGUCUCAAGUGAUCCACCCGCCUCGGGCUCCCAAAGUGCCAGGAUUACAGGCGUGAGCCACUAUGCCUGGCCAAAAGUGGCGAUGUGUUCUUAAUGCCCAUUUUCACAUAAAAGGUAAUAAUCUACCCACACCAUGCUGUACCUUGUUUGUUUUUUGUGUGUUUGUUUGUUUGUUUUUUGACAGAGUCUUGCUCUGUCAGCUAGGCUAGAGUGCAGUGGCACAAUCUCAGCGCGCUGCAACCUCCGCCUCCCGGGUUCAAGCGAUUAUCCUGCCUCAGCCUGCUGGGUAGUUGGAAUUACAGGAGCCUGCCACCAUGCCCAGCUAAUUUUUGUGCUUUUAAUAGAGAUGGGGUUUCACCAUGUUGGCCAGGCUGGUCUCGAACUCCUGACCUCAAGUGAUCCAUCCACCUUGGCCUCCCGAAGUGCUGGGAUUACAGGCGUGACCCACCGCGCCUGGCUCUUGUUUGUUUUUUUAACUAAUCACACAUCUUAGAGACCUUUAUCAGUAAUUAGAGAGCUUCCUGGAUCUUUUAUAUCACUGCAUAAUAAAUAUUCUAUUAUAUAGAUUAGAAUAAUUCAAAUUACCAGUUCCCUAUUGGUGGACAUUUGUUUCUGGUUUGUUUGUUUUUUCUAUUUUUUUUCUUAUCACAA